CCUACGGGAGGCAGCAGUGGGGAAUAUUGCACAAUGGGGGAAACCCUGAUGCAGCGACGCCGCGUGAGUGAAGAAGUAUUUCGGUAUGUAAAGCUCUAUCAGCAGGGAAGAAAAUGACGGUACCUGAUUAAGAAGCCCCGGCUAACUACGUGCCAGCCGCCGCGGUAAUACGUAGGGGGCAAGCGUUAUCCGGAUUUACUGGGUGUAAAGGGAGCGUAGACGGCAGCACAAGUCUGGAGUGAAAUGCCGGGGCUUAACCCCGGAACUGCUUUGGAAACUGUGCAGCUAGAGUGCAGGAGAGGUAAGUGGAAUUCCUAGUGUAGCGGUGAAAGGCGUAGAUAUUAGGAGGACAACCAGUGGCGAAGGCGGAUUACUGGACGAUAACUGACGGUGAGGCGCGAAAGCGUGGGGAGCAAACAGGAUUAGAUACCCUAGUAGUC
rnacentral:rRNA from 1 species